rnacentral:lncRNA from 1 species
GUUGUUCAGGUUUUUGACUAUUUGUAGUACAAAGCGUUCCUAGAGACUCUCUUAAAAAUAUUUUUUUGAGGGAAUAAACAGGAUAGUGACUGGGACAUAGGAUUUGAAAUUUACAGGAAGUUGUUUUGUUUUGUUUUGUUUGAAGAUUUGGGUAUUUGUUUACAUUUUAUUUUUCAUUUUAGGAAGAAAAAAAUCUGCACUAACUUGUAAGGUGAAGAGAAGGAAUCAACAAACAGGAAGAAAUGAAUGUAUAGGAAAGCAAGAUAUGCAUGAUGAAGAAAAGUCCUAGAUAAGACUAAGUGAUGGACAGUACAGGAGAAGGGAAAAAGAAGGAAAAGCAGACACAGUGAGGCUUCAGACUCCUUGGAGCUCAGAUCAAAUGUAUCAGAUCCGACAAGCCUGAGGCCAGCCCUGAAGGACAGAGACAAUACGAUGGUGCAGCCUAAUAAAUGCCUCAAAACCUGCUCUGUCUCAUUCAAAACUAGCAUUUUACACAAGGCAGUUCCAUCUAUAUUUAAAAUGAUGUGAUUUGGACACAUUUAAUUCUGCAUUCCCAUACUCAUACCAUUAAUAAGGCCACUUGGAUGGUUCAGGGUGAGCUACAGCUAAGAUCUAGCCCUGCAACUACCUAGGUCUGUACCCAUAUAUUGAAAGACUCUGAACUCACUACAAAAGUGAAGUGGUUGAUCAUUGAGCUGCCCUUCCAAAGGUCAUCCCAGUGUACCCUAUGAUCUUCCCAACCAAUUCUCCCUGCUUCCAAGACUAUUACAGCAUAUACCCCUUCAAAUCACAAACUUACUUAGGACCCACCUCAAGAUAGAGAAAUGAAAUUGAGCACGGUACGGUUCCUGUCCUCACGGAAAAUACAGAAAGUUGAACAGCUGAUUACAAUGCAGUUCAAUUUCAUAGAUGUAUAAACUCCUUCUACUCUUGCCUUAACUCUGGAGCAGAAUUAGCAAAAACAAGAUUCUUCUGGAUGCUUGCUUCUCUGAGAAGGUGGAUGCUAAUUUAGAUUCAACCUGAAGCUCUUGGAGUGACCCCAG